rnacentral:rRNA from 1 species
GCAUAUCAAUAAGCGGAGGAAAAGAAAAUAACAAUGAUUCCCCUAGUAACGGCGAGCGAAGAGGAAAUAGCUCAAAUUUUAAAUCUGUUGGGUCUUACCUAGCCGAGAUGUAAUUUGAAAAAGCGUUUUCUGCGUGUUUGAUUUAGCCCAAAUCCUUUGGGAUAAGGUAUCAUGGAGGGUGAGAAUCCCGUCCGGCCUAAUCAAAUGUGCAUUACGAUACGUUUUCUAAGAGUCGAGUUGUUUGGGAUUGCAGCUCAAAAUGGGAGGUAAAUUUCUCCUAAGGCUAAAUAUAGGCGAGAGACUGAUAGCGAACAAGUACCAUGAGGGAAAAAUGAAAAGAACUUUGAAAAGAGAGUUAAAUAGUACGUGAAAUUGUUGAAAGGGAAACGAUUAAAGUCAGUCGUACUAACGGGGAAUCAAACUUUUGAGGGUGGAAUUGUGGGAUUCAAAGUGCCUUUGUUUUUCACAACCUGCUUUUUUUGGGUGCACUUUCUCGUAUUGUAGGUCAGCAUCGGUUUCGAUCGUUACAAAAUGACUGGAGGAAUGUAGCUUUGAUCUCGUAUUGAAGUGUUAUAGCCUUUGGUAGAUGUAACUGUUGGGAUCGAGGAUUGCAAUGAAUACCCUUAUGGGCUAUCCGACAUGUCACUCUGGUGCCGAAAGCUUGCUUACGGUAUUAUAGUGUACGGUCAAAAGGCCAGAACGGAUUAAAUUCGUUAAGGAUGUUGACGUAAUGGCUUUAAACGAC